UCCGUCACUCUCUACUCCCUUACAUAUAACAUCACCAUAACUUGCUGCUGGAAUUAGUCUUUGUCUUGACAAAUGUAUUCACAUAUGUAUUCUACAGCCAGUGUUUUUUUUCUUUGAAACAGGGUCUUACUCUGUUGCCCAGGCUGGGGUGCAGUGGCGCAAUCUCAGCUCACUGCAACCUCCGCCUCCUGGUUUCAAGUUAUUCUCCUGCCUCAACCUCCUGAGUAGCUGUGAUUACAGGGACCUGCCAUCAUGCCCGGCUAAUUUUUGUAUUUUUAGUACAGACAGAGUUUCACCAUGUUGGCCUGGCUGGUCUCAAACUCCUGACUUCAAAUGAUCCACCCUCAGCCUCCCAAAGUGCUGGGAUUACAGGUGUGAGCCACUGUGCCCAGCCCUUGCAUCCAAUUGUAAAGUAUGACUAUCACUACAGAAAGUUCUCUCAUGUUUCUUUUCAGUCCCCACCACACUACCAGAGGCAGUGUGGUAGAAUAAUAAUAAUAAAGUAAUAAAAAUUAAUCCCAGAAUAUUUUAACUAAUCGCCAGUGAAAUUCUUUUUAAAAUUAUUUGGGACCAGGCAUGGUGGCUCAGGUCUGUAAUCCCAGUACUUUGGGAGGCCAAGGCAAGAGGAUUGCUUGAACCCAGGAGUUCAAGACCAGCCUGGGCCACAUGGCAAACCUCCCCCACAUCUCUACCAAAACAAAUUUUUAAUUUUUUUUUUUUUUUCUUGAGAUGGAGUUUUGCUCUUGUUACCCAGGCUGGAGUGCAAUGGUGCAAUCUCGGCUCACCGCAACCUCUGCCUCCUGGGUUCAGGGAAUUCUCCUGCCUCAGCCUCCUGAGUAGCUGGGACUACAGGCACGCACCACCGUGCCCAGCUAAUUUUUUGUAUUUUUAGUAGAGAUGGGGUUUCACCAUGUUGACCAGAAUGGUCUCGAUAUCUUGACCUCCUGUUCCACCCACCUCGGCCUCCCAAAGUGCUGGGAUUACAGGCUUGAGCCACCGCACCCAGCCUCAAAACAAAUUUUUAAAUUAGCCAGGCGUGGUGGUGUGCACCUGUAAGCUAUGGUCUCAGCUAGUUUGGAAACUGAGACAGGAGGAUCACUUGAGCCCAGGAGGUCAAGGCUGUGGUGAGCCGUGUUCAUGCCACUGCACUCAAGCCUGGGUGACAAAGUGAGACCCUGUCUCAAAAAGAAAACUUAUUCGGGAAAUCUCUGGAUUUCUUAGAUCUACUGUUCUUGAUUACAGACUCUAUAGAAGUCACAACAAUUUUCCUGUCUUUUCUUAGCUAACAGAUAUUUUGUUUUUUUUCUUCAAGUUAUUCUAAAUUAUAAAACAGGAAAGCUGCUCUUCAAACUGUAGAACAGGUAUUCAACAAAAACUUUUUAUUUCCAUAAUUCCUAAUUGCUUGGAUCUAAGGAAGAAUAUAUUUAAUGGGCAAAAGUCUCAAAAGAAAAAGCAGGUCAUUAUUGCUCAUUCCCAUUUAUCAAUAGUGCAGCUCAGCAAAGCUGACAUUGUAUUGUGCAAGGUGAAAAGAACCCUCUCAGGGUUCCCUGUUGCAGGAUAUGAUUAAAGCCUAGUGACAAUAAACCAAGCUGGCCUCAGGGCCUGUUUCCCAGACAGUCCUUUUCAACAUCAGCACUCCAGGUAGAUCAGAACCUUUCAGAGCUAGGGGAAAUACAUCCUGUAGGCUUAAUUGUACACUCCUUGAGGCUUGCAGAUAAACUCCCUUAUCAAAAGAAGACUUAAGUUCCCAACAAGUAUUGAGUGGCUCAAUUAUUUCUUCCUCGGUUCCACGAAAAUGGUUUUUCAGUGCAGAGGAUAAUUCUGCACACAUUUAUCAGUCCUGGCAUGGACCUAUCCCUGUGGAGCACAUAUCGAUGAAAUGUGAUGCCCGGUUUCAAGGGGUUUACAGUAUAUAUAGUUCUCUGUUUUAUGGGGAGCACCAGGUAGAGAAUGACUCCAACUAAGAGGUCAGGCAGGGUGGGGAGGGGACUUGUGGAAGAGGGAAAAUGUGAACCAAGCCUUGAAACUGGGUAAGAUAUUGGACAAACAUGGAUAAGAAGAAAGAGCCAACCAUUUUUUACACUGCAGCCCAAGUGAUCUUUCUGAAGCACAAAUCUAAUAUUCCAUUUCCCUCUUUAAAGCCAUCAGUAUGAGAAAUAUCACUACCCAUUUUACUGUGUGAGAUAAUGGUGCCCAGCACACAGUGAGUGAGAAAACUGAGGCCCAGGGUGGGGCCACAUUGUCUCCAAAGCCAGCUAAUUAAUGGAAGAAUCAUACUAGAACUGACUGCCACUGGGGCCAUGCUCUUCAGCUCCUCAACAGCCAUUCUUGGCUGAACUCACUGAGCAAAAUCAAGGUGCCAGCAGGACUAUGUUUCUUUCUGGAGGCCCUUGGAGAGAAUCCAUUUUCUUGCCUUUUCCAGCUUCUAGAGACUGCCCAUAUUCUUGGGCUUAUGGUUCCUUCUUUCCUCUUCAUUGGCUGGUUGAUUCCUUCACACAUCACAUCACUCUGACACUGCCCCUUCUGUCCUCCUCUUGCACUUGUAAGGACCCUUGUGAUGACAUGGCCUAGCCAGAUUACCUAGAAUAAUCUCCCAUCUCAAAGUCCUCAUCAUAAUCACAUCUACAGGGUCCCUUUUGCAAUUUAAGAUAACAUUCUCAACAGGUUCCAGGAAUGAGAAUGUGGAUGUCUUUAGAGAGCCAUUAUUCUGCCUACCACAGAUACAACCUCGCUGUUACCACCAAGGGUUGGAAUGAGGAUCAUUCUGGGACUGCUGCAAGAUGCUGGAAACUGGAACCAAGUGCUGCCUUCAUGCUGAAACACAAAUUGGUACACCAACAAUUAAUGGAUCAGUGAAGAGCAAGAGUUCUCCAGAUAACGAAUAAGAAGAGGGAUGCAGUUGCCUUGGAGCUGGCAGACUGCACAGCAGACAAACAGGAGUCCCGCCACCUCCCAUGGAGAUGACACUGGAACGCAGACUCACUGCUGAAUUUGGGAUCACUUAGGCACAGGAGGAGAGAAAACUGAAGACCAUUUGGGAACAAAAGAAUACCACAAAAGGAAAAGGUGGGACAUGGGGCAAUGGAAAGAAAAGAAAAUUCAUCAUCUAAAAUGUCUUGCUCUGUUAUCCAGACUGGAAUGCAAUGGAUCUUGGGUCAUUGCAACAACCUCCACCUCCCAGGCUCAAGCAAUCCACCUGCCUCAGCCUCCCAAGUAGCUGGGACUACAGGUAUGUGCUACGAGAUGUGGCUAGGUUUUGCAUUUUGGGUAGAAACAGGGUUUCCCCAUGUUAUCCAGGCUGGUCUGGAACUCCUGGGCCCAAGUAAUCCUCCUGCCUCCACCUCCCAAAAUGCUAAGAUUAUAGACAUCAGCCACUAAGCCUGGCCCAAAACUAAAUUUUCUAUUAUCUGACAGCAUCUGCCUUUUAAGCCUUGGAAGACAAAUCAUGGUAAAUAGGCAGGAGCAGAGUGCGGUGGGGAAAACACAAACUAGGGGGUCACAGAAAACCCGAAGGAUUUGCUCUAUCACCGAGGAGCUGCUCAGUGCAUACAAAAAAACCAUGAAGCAACAUGGCCCAACUCACUCCCAGACACAAGGCUCUUACAGCCUUGUAACCCAGAAAUCCUUAUACCUUCCCUGAAAAAACUGCAGACAUCUAAGAAAGACACUGUGGACCCAGAUAACGUCAUGAUCUCUGACCAUCCCUGGACAUGCCCCAACAUAGGAAUAUACCCACAGACUGUCAGGCCUGUGGCAUCACCCCUGGGCUCACCGGCUCAGGGGGGUAUCAUCAGGGCUGGUGCCUGGUGCUGGGUAUGGCGCACAGCUGUCGUCCACAGGGGUGGUUGGGGAUGGGCAGGGCAGGUACACUGCACUCCACAGCAUCAGGUUACGCACAUGGCACACAGGGUACAGCACCUGAGGAGGGGGGAGGACACAAGUUUAAAUAUGUCCCAGUAAGUCUUCUAGGAUAUCUGGAAAUGAGGAUCAAGAGCAAGUACCCAGCUGGAAUACCCAACAGGGCUGACAGGAUCUCCACGAAGAGUCAGCACCAAUGGAUGCAGGUCUAUCCCAAGAGGACCAAUAAAGGACUAGACAUUUUAUAUGGCCAACAUUUUCCUCUUGAGAGCAUGAAAAUCUAGAAGAUUGUUUUAGAUCCCUUUCUCAUUAAUAGUUAUUUCUUAGGUCACCUUCAAUGACUGACUUUCGUUGGCUUGAUUUGUUGCUUUUACUGUCUAAGAAAGUGAGUCAUUCUGUUACUCACUUUCAUGGUGAUUGUCCAUCCCACUGGCACAGAAGCUUGGCUUCAGGAGAUACUGUCACACCCAUUUUAUAGGCUCAUUUAAAUUAAUCAUGUGAAAAGAAGGAAAUUUUUCUUCUUCCCCAGAAGGCACAUUGCAGGGGAGAGACAAGCAGCUUAAAUCUUUUCUUUGACUACUUAAAUGUAAUGAGAACCAUGUUAAUAGUCCAAGAAAUCAAUAUAAACUCUGAUUAGCCUCCUUUUCAUUUCUUUAGGGUUUAAGAUGCAUUCUGACAAAGAUAACAUUACUAUGAAACUCACACACAGGUCUAUAUGCCUCCUUUUCUUUGCUUAACAGAAGGCAUUCAUUCCUUUAGGGAACAAAGUCUUGAAGGCCCUGCCAGCUCUUCAUGUGAGCAGAGAAUCACAGUCAGACGCACAUACCAAUGUCAAACAGUUUUCUGUGUUCCUUCUCUGCGAGAAGCUAUAGGGGAUAUCAUUGCUUACUGGACACUGGGAGGGUGCUAGGGGCCUGGUGGCAGCUCCUUCUGAGCUAUCAGUACAUCAGGAAGCAACUUAAGUGCCUCUCCCAUAAGACAAAACAUGCUAGAAAUAAGCUCUGGAGGCAGAGCCAAAAAAGAUUCAUGUCUAGGGUGGCAAAGUAGAGAUCUGUGUUAAACCAAACCACCCUCAGCAAGUAGUCAUCAGAACAUCAUCUUCUAAGCAAGCCUUCCUCAGGACAGAGUUGUAGGGGAAAAAUGAAACCAGUCCAUCCAGAGACAGAGAUGCCUUCACAAAAACAGUCACUACUCAAAAAGGCUCUCAUAUGUCACCAACCCCAGAUUCCUUCUGCUGACCACAGUGAAAAGGCUGAAGGAUACAUACGGCUUCUGACUGAGAGGAAUACAGUAGAUUUUUGAAAGGCUUGUUGCCUGCCCGAAGAAGUGACCACACAGAACACGUCCGUUCCUGAGUAUGCUUUUCCCCUCUCUCCUUGGCAUUGUUGCACAGGAAUGUGCCAAAGAGGCAGGAAUAGGUAUGCUGCACCAGUUUCACCUAUCGGAGUCCAAUGAAGCACAAAUUAAGCAAUCAGGCAUGCAUUCUCUGAGAGGUCAGCUCAGCUGAGCCACCUUAUCCCGACAUCCCUGAGAACACUUUACUCUAUCAGGACAGGGGAACCCAGUAAGCCAUGCAGUAGCCUCCUCUUCCUCACAUCACCGAUUCUAGGACCCGACCCCAACCAACUGAGUCAGACAGAUUGUUGGUACUCUCAUUCCCCUUAGCUUCCCUGAUAAACAGUCAGAUUCUGAAUUAACGGCCACCCUCACAAGCACCAGAGCAUAUGAACUGGGUACAGGAGCAUGUCAGUGUACACCUUAAGCCUGAGCUGAGAGGAUACUUGUAACACUACUUGUUCAUUCGACAAAUUAUUGAGCAUUUCACAUGCCCCAGACAUGACUAAGAUGCUGGUCAUGCAGCAAUGACUGGCAAACUCUUCUGCCCUGUUGGAGCUUGCUCUAGUCAUAGGUAAGAGUGACCAGUGCUGUGGAGAACAGGGCAGACUGAGAUGGACAGGACAUGUAUGGGGCAGUGCAGGAUGGCCUCACUGGCUAGAACCCAAUGAACAUGAAAGAGCAGGCAUGUGGGUAUCACACUUUAAGGACUUUGGCUUUUACUUUGUGUAAAAUGUAAAGGUUUUUAAGCAAAGGAAUGACAGUCUGUCUGAUGUUUUAGAAGAGACUCUAUGCUGGGAUGACUCAAUUGGAGCAGGAGAUGAUGGUGGCUUGAACCAGUGUGGUACCAAUAAAGGGGGCAAUAAAUAAACAGGUUUUAGACAUAUUUUCAAAGCAGAGCUGUAGAAUCUGACUGAAUGUGAAAGAUAAAAGAAAGAAGAGACCUGGGGAUGACAAAGAAUUUUGCCCUAAACAAAAGGAGGGAUGGAAAUGCCAUAUGGUGAGAGGAGACUUCUGGAAGAUCAAGUUUGGAACAUCAAGUUUUAGAGUGAGGAAACACAGAAAUUAAGAAUUAAGUUUUGGACAAGUGCGGUGACUCAUGCCUGUAAUACCAGCACUUUGUGAGGCUGGGGUAGGAGGAUAUUGUUUGACCCCAGGUGUUUUAGACAUGCCUGAGUAACAAAGCAACACCCCAUCUCUACAAAAAUAAAAAUAUCAGCCAGGCACAGUGGUGCACACCUGCAGUCCUAGUGACUCAGGAGGCUAAGGUGAGAAGAUCACUUGACUCGGAGUUCAAGGCUGCAGUAAGCUGUGUUUGUGCCACUAUACUCCAGUCUGGGUGACAGUGAGAUGCUGUCUCAAAAAAGAAUUAAGUUUCGCAUUUAUUAAGUCCGAAAUAACAUUAAGACAGCCAAGCGAAGAUUCCUAGUAGCCAUAUUAGAUAUGUGAGGCUGAAGUGGAGAGGUCUAAGCUGAAGGUGUAUAAAAGGAACUCAUCAGCCUAUAGAUCGCAAUUAAAGCCACUAGAAUGAAUGAAAUACUUAGAAGUAUAGAUGGAGAAGCAGCCUGGAGGCUGAGCAAUGGGGCAUUCCAACAUUUAGAACUGGGUGUAGUUUACAGCUGUAAUCCUUUGGGCGACCAAGGUGGGAGGUUUGAGACCAGCCUGGGCAACACAGUGAGACUCCAUGUCUAUUUACAAAAAAAAAUUUUUUUAAUUAGCCAGGCAUAUUGGCAUGUGCCUGUGGUCUCAGCUACUGGGAAGGCUGAAGUGGGAGAAUCCCUUGAGCCCAUGAGGUUAAGGCUGCAGUGAAUUAUGAUCAUACCGCUGCACUCUAGCCUGGGAGACACAGCGAGACAUUAUCUCAAAAAAAAAAAAAAAAAAAAGAAGAACGAGGGUUAAAAGGAAUCGGCAAAGGAGGCAGAAACAACCAGCCAGUGAGCUAAGAGGAGAACUAAGAGCAAGGAAGUGCUACAAGUCAACUGAACACAGCAUUUCAAGGAAGAAGUGGUUAAACUGUGUCAAAUGGUAAUGAUGGAUCAAAGGGAUGAAGACUGAGAAACCAUCACUGGAUUAGUGACAUAAAGGUCACUGGUCAUUUUAACAAGAGCAGCUUUGGUAAAGCUGUGGGGUGAAUGCCUGAUUGAAGUGGGUUUAAGAGAAUGGAAAGAGGAAUUUGAGAUAGCAAGGACAGAAAACUUGAGGAGCUCUGCUGUAAAGGGGAAUAAGAGAAAUGGGAUGAUGGCUAGAGGUAAAUGCAGGACCAAGAAUGGGUUUUGAAAAUAUGGGAGACAAUGCCACUUUUUUAUGCUGAAGGUCAUGCUCUGAUACAGAGGGAAACGCACUGAUGCAGAAGACAGAGAAGAGAAAUGCUGGAGCCAGCCAGCACAGCAGAUGAGAGGGAAAGAGAGCUGGUGUGCAGGUGGACAGAGGGGCUGGAAGAGGACAAGGAUAGUGCACCCUCCGUCAAAGGAGAGGGUGCAGAGGGUGCAACACAGACAAAGGGGGUCUGGCAGAUGAAUUGGAGAAAGCAUGGUCCAGUCAUUCUGAUUGCUUCUAUUUCUAACUGCUAUUUAGGGUUUCUACCAUCCCUUUAAAAAAAAAAAACAAAACUAAGUUUAAAACAACUCAAGGA